ensembl:lncRNA
CGGAAGCAGAUGGAGGGUAGCGCUGAAGGUAUAGACGCUCCAGUUCCAGUUCCACUUCUCUCCUUCCCCCUCUCCUUGACUUUCUCCCGUGGGUGGUACAACCUGGCAGAUUACAAAACACCCCUCCCAUGUGCCUCACCACUCUCUGUGCCAGGAUGAAGCGACCGAUCUGAUGCUCCUGAAGAGUAUGAAAGUGUAAGUGGAGUGAGAGAGAGAGAAAGAGAGAGAGAGUGAGAGAGAGAGGCAAAAAGAAAGAAAAAGCUAGUGGAAAGCAGUACGACACAAUCUGCGCCACUGUCUGCUGAGAACAUCGGGUUCUCUACUACACCAGAGCUCACAACAUCCUAAAGGUGAGUGGGUGCUGUUAUCUGGGGAUACAGGCAGGAUAAGUGCAGUGGACAGAGCUGUAUGGUUGGGCGGGUCAGCUGGUGUUGUGAAUCAGGCCGCCGUAAUGAGUGGGCACGGCUUCUUCAUAACACCAGGGUCACACCCUACCACACUCAGCACCUGCCAAUGAGCACACACCUAUCCACACAUAUCCACACGUACGCACACACACACACACACACAGGCAAAAACACACUGACCCAAGCAGUACCAACUGAUAUCACAGGAAUAAUGGAAGGAAUCAGACUGUGUGAGGCUGCAUUAUAUGGACCAUAUAGACUUUUUUUUUAAUAUAUAUCAUGAACUAUAUAAUGGUUACAAAUAGUUCCAUGAAAAAUGAAAGGUGUUGCUGUGUAUUUUUGGAAGAUUUAAAUGCUUAUUCAAAACUAAAAGAAAAAUGAAACUCAUACAUUGUUAGCACAUACAUUUCUAUAUGUUUGUUGUAUAGAUGUUUUACAAUUUUGAAAUAAAAUUUUUUUAAAACCUUUUUCUUUUCAAAGCCCGAAAUUAUUUGCAUAAAACACCAAGCCAUGUUUAAUGAGUCCUGUUCUGUUGUCCUUACAUCUAUCUGCUUCUGCUGAUGUCUCAGUAUGCUGAAUUUAUUCAUUCACUUGUAGUACAGCCAAUGUUCUAUUGUAAAUAUGUGUACAUAACUUUUUAUAGACAGACUGAGUGAAGGUUUUCUUUGUUGGGUUUAUGGAGAAAUUGCUAUAAUUCCACUAACACUACAGUGCUACUGUUAAGCGGUUAUCAUUUUAAAGUUUACAAAAUUAAUAACAAACAUUAGUCGCUGCCAAACUUUUUUUUUUCUGACAUCUCAGCUUCUCGGUAUAAUUAAUGACCAAAACACAUUACAACAACCAAAUCACCACAAACACAUCUCAAAAUAAACGCUUUCCUCAAAACACGGCCAUAAUAUUUCUUCUAAUAAGUGCACUCAAUCAGAGCACAAUGUUUAAAAACCACUAACAAGUGUCAUUUCAGUAAGUGAUCUAAAUCAUAUAUAUUGAUAAAAAAAAUAGUUUAUUUUAAAUUACAAACAGCAUGAUACAUCUGGAUUGUAUAUGCCAUAUAAACAAGAAAAAAUCAUCACAAUUUAAGUGCAAGAAAUAAGCAAAAAUGUGUGUGUGCAUGUGCGUGUGUGUGUGUGUGUGUACAUAGAUAUAGACAUUGAUAUAUAUUAUGUAUCAUCACAAACCUAUUGUUAGACUGAUAUGCAUACUGACGCCUAGAGAAGGUUUGAUCGUCGCUUGCUUAAAAUACCACUUACAAACAGCUCAGUCUGUGUCACUAAUAACAGCAGCAGACUAUGGACCAAAGCUCUUUUUCAUAUUUAAUCAUAGAAGACGCUCUUUUAAUACUUCAGCACUUGACAGUACAUUUUUCAGAAGGCUAUUUGCACACAACGUAAGGGAAAAUAUGCCAAAUUUUCUGAGUUGCACUCUUGAAAUCCUGUGUGAAUUUUCUUAGAAUCAACACAAAAGGUACUAACUAGCAGCAAGCAUCUGUGAGGAGGAACCCAAUGUGCUCAGUGUUAUUUCAUGCAGUCAUUCUUCAGUGAUUGCUUUUUGGCAAUAAAUAAAUAAAUAAAUAAAUAAAAUAACUAGGAAAACUGGGCAUAAGAAUACAUUCUGGAUGGGAUGCCAGUCCAUCACAGGACACACACACACACACACACAAAUACUCACACAUUAGGGGGGGAUGGCAUACUCCCUCUCCCCCAAUCACAGUGACUCUAACCAAUCAUGGGCAUCUGUGAGCUCAUGCAUGUGAAAGGGGGCGGAUAGAGUUUUCCUUAGAGUGUGUUUUGUGCCCAUGACGCAGCAUAAGUAGCAGUUUGAAAAGAUGCAGUUGAAAAGAUGCAAAAGAUACACUCACUCACACACACAAACACAUUAGGGGGGGAUGGCACACUCCCUCUUCUCCUAUCAAUCACAGUGACUUUAACCAAUCAUGGGCGUCUGUGAGCUCAUGCAUGUGAAAGGGGGUGGAUAGUGUUUUCCUUUGAGUAUGUUUUGUCCCCAUGACAGCAGUUUGAAAAGAUGCAGUUGGCUGACUUCAUGUGACUCGGAGGAAGCAUGUGACAGCCUUUACCCUCACGGGUUGGUAGCUGGCAUAUGAUAAGGGAGACCUAACUGAUGAGUGGGAAUUGGCCGAGACCAGAUUAGAGAGAAAAACAGGGGAAAAACCCAAAAGAAAAAGAAACAAAAACACACACACAUGCACACACUUAUCACACCUAAGGGCAAUUAAGAGCCACAUAUUGGCAUAUUUUGAGAGGUGGGAUAACACUGGACACUGACAGAACAUGUGAAACCCUGCACAGACAGUAAGCUGAGUUUAUGAUUAAACCCCAGACUCUGGACCUUCCACUCCACCAUGCCACCCUCCUGCAUAAGUGAUAUAUAAAUAAAAUGUGUAUUUUAUAUAUUAUCCGAUGUUGCCCCCAAACAGAUGUGAC